rnacentral:rRNA from 1 species
AGCAGUAGCCGCGGGAAAACGGAGGGUGCGAGCGUUAAUCGGAAUUACUGGGCAUAAAGCGUACGCAGGCGGUUUGUUAAGUCAGAUGUGAAAUCCCCGAGCUUAACUCGGGAACUGCAUUUGAAACUGGCAAGCUAGAGUCUUGUAGAGGGGGGUAGAAUUCCAGGUGUAGCGGUGAAAUGCGUAGAGAUCUGGAGGAAUACCGGUGGCGAAGGCGGCCCCCUGGACAAAGACUGACGCUCAGGUGCGAAAGCGUGGGGAGCAAACAGGAUUAGAUACCCCGGUAGUCCCUGUCUCUUAUAC